GGCACAUUCGACAGUUCUGUUGUCACAACAACCCUCUCGUCUUUCGGAGCGGAUUUUGUUAACUACUGAUUUUUUUUUCUCUGUAUCCCGGAGAAGUGAACUCUUCAUAAAAUUAUUGCAAGCUCUGUGAUAAUGUUAAGCUCUGUGAAGUGCAAGAACUAUAUUCUUGUAGCAAUUCUGCCGUAAUUAGCCGACGGAUAUCAGAGGUUCGUCACGUUCCCAGCCUUCACCCUCUUCGGCAAGAGUCGCGACCAGAAAUGAACUCUGACCCCAUUCGUGACCUGCCAUAGCAAGCUGGCAGCGACUGAACCGGCGUAACAUAACCCGACGACUGCCAAGGUCCCCUCAGCCUUUCGCCAGUAGGGGAGGAACUCGCUCAACCAGAGCUUCGCUGAAUCAACAACAACAUCCAUGUACACAGCAUUCUACUGCUUAUCGUCGGCGCCAACUUGACCUGUGACCCUGCGAGAUGAUAAUGACGAACUGACGUUAAAACAAACCGAUCACAGAUGCUGUGGAUUACUUUGUGAAUAUAUAAUUUGUACAUAAGAUCAUCUAUCAACAGCUUAGACCAGUAGCAGUGCGCAUGACAAGAGCCUGGGUCAAACUCUGUAUUAACAAACAACUACUGUCUAGAACUGGGGACUAUCAGCUGCCCCAGCAGAGUUCACCCAUGCACCACUUGCAUCCUCACAUCCUCUAGCUGAUUAGUCAGCCAUCACACUGACUAUCCAACUUAUCCUCAUGUAUUCAAGAAUUAAAUAAAAAGCACAGAAAUAAACACA